UGCAGGUCCAUCACUGGUGGAGGUCAGUUUCCCUGGUUGUGGGUGAACUACAACUCCUAGAAAGGAAGGUCGGUUCCCCCUAAAUCCCUCCAGUCAUCAAAUUUUGACAUAUCUGGUAAGUGUGCCAAAUUUGGUCCAGAUCCCUCGGCACUGUUUGGGUUCACAGUGUUCUCUUUAUGUAGGUGAACUACAACUCGCCCAAAUCGUGCUGAAUUUUCACCAAGGACCUCCAGUAUUUUUUCUUGAUCAUGGGGUACUUAUGACUCCUAAAUGUCCAGGCCAAUUCCCCUCAAAACCCACCAGUAUUCAAAUUUGGGCGUAUUGGGUACGUAUGCCAAGAGGGUCUCUUCCGACUCUGGACUGUGUAAUUUCCCAUUGAGAAGGAACGGUUCCCAGAUGGAUGAUGCACAAAAUGGAUGCGAGAUGCAAGAGAGGAGACUGCCAUGUCUCCAUCUCAGCUCUGUUUUGUAUUGGAGGCCUUAAACGCUCAGGCUUUUAAGGUCCCGGCUCCUUCUCAAUGCACCAUGUGCAGCUGCUUUGCCUGCGGAAGAGCUGAGCAGCACUCACUGCAAGCAGCUGCAUCACUCCCUGGAUGAAAGGCAGAGUAUCCUUGGACUGGCAGGCCGAGCAGAAUGGCCUCCAAGAAGACCCCCGGUAAAAGGAAAUGGGAAUUGGUGCGAUGGUGAGUGGGGAAGAAAAGAGGCAAAGUGGGAAGGAAGGGCUGAGUCUGGAAGGAGAGGAGCCACCUUGCUGCAUUGGGUACGUGAGGGAAGGACGGUUCCGGAUUGAGGAGAGGACCCUGAUGGCUUUCCACUGGCUCUACUCCCCACACCAACACCAUAUUGUAAGCCGAGCUGACCUGGAAGUCCCAAACAGGUGAACCAAACCAACGUUGUGUGUUUGUGAAACGGAGGGGUGGGACCCUGAAAUGGAGAGGGCGUGAAGUUCUGGGAAGGAAUAAUCUGAGGUCGAAAAGGAUCUCCAUCCAAGGUUAGUAGUCCAGGAAUGGGCUGUGUCCGGUUCUGGAUGUUUCUCUUGAAGAAGGUUUCCCUCCAAGGUUGGUAGUCAUGGUUUCCAUCAAAUGUUGCCAUCAGCUCAGGGAUGGACAGUUCUGGAUACCACACUUUCCAUCCAAGGUUCUCAGUUGUCCAGGAAUGAGCUGCAGUCAGUUAUGGAUGCCAGAUUUGAAGGUUUCCCUCCAAGGUUGGUAGUUCCAUCCAAGGUUGUUGGUCAUCCUGGAGUGAGCUGCAUUCCAAAUUUGAAGGUUUCCCCCCAAGGUUGGUAGUCAUUCAUGGUUUCCAUCCAAUAUUGCCGUCAGCUCAGGGAUGGACAAUUCUGGAUGCCACACUUUCCAUCCAAGGUUGUUGGUCAUCCUGGAAUGAGCUGCAUUCCAAAUUUGAAGGUUUCCCUCCAAGGUUGGUAAUCGCUCAUGGUUUCCAUCCAAUGUUGCCAUCAGCUCACAGAUGGCCUGUGUCUGGUUCUGGAUACCACAUUUUCCAUUCAAGGU
rnacentral:lncRNA from 1 species